AGCGAACGCUGGCGGCAGGCCUAACACAUGCAAGUCGAGCGCCCAGCAAUGGGAGCGGCAGACGGGUGAGUAACGCGUGGGGAUGUGCCCAAUGGUGCGGAAUAACCCAGGGAAACUUGGAUUAAUACCGCAUGUGCCCUUCGGGGGAAAGAUUUAUCGCCAUUGGAUCAACCCGCGUCUGAUUAGCUAGUUGGUGAGGUAAAGGCUCACCAAGGCGACGAUCAGUAGCUGGUCUGAGAGGAUGAUCAGCCACACUGGGACUGAGACACGGCCCAGACUCCUACGGGAGGCAGCAGUGGGGAAUAUUGGACAAUGGGCGCAAGCCUGAUCCAGCCAUGCCGCGUGAGUGAUGAAGGCCUUAGGGUUGUAAAGCUCUUUCGCCGGUGAAGAUAAUGACGGUAACCGGAGAAGAAGCCCCGGCUAACUUCGUGCCAGCAGCCGCCGUAA
rnacentral:rRNA from 1 species